UUCACAUCUCUUGUACUUGGGCUUUGUGGAACAUUUUCAAGCUUUGGGUCUAUAGUUUUCUUCAAACUUGGAAAAUUUUUGGCAUUAGUUUCUUCAAAUAAUUUUUUGUCACCUACUCUCUUUCAGAAGCUCAAAUUACAUGAGUAUUGGGCCAUUUGAAGUUGUCCCACAGCUCUUUUAAUUUUUAGUAAGCCUCUGCCUCUGGACUGUGAACUUCACAAGUGUUUCUUAGUUUUUUUCUCCUCCCUCCUCUUUAGGUGGGACAGGAUGGCUGGAGUGGGCUGGAGUUGGGUAUUUCCCUUCCUUCAGGUCAGUUAGGCUCUAAUAAUAUCCACCUGGUUAGGCUCUGUUAACUAGUUUCUCUUGAGGGCAGGCCUUAUUAAGAAGAGUGCUCUGGGAUGUUUAAAAAUGGUUCCUUUUCCUCUCUCCAUUCUAGACGUCUGAUGAGAUUUUUGUCAGCUAUUUACUGUGAGAACCUGGACGAGCUCCUGGAGGAAGAUCAAAGUGGUGUUUAGAGAAUGAUCAUGAAGUGAAUGCUGACUCCUUUCACGCCGUGACGAGUGUGAUGACUAAACAGGGGAGAAGACACUGAGUGCUGGGAGGCAAAUGAUGUUGGGGCUCUCGGGAAUGACAGACUUCAUAAAGAGAAGGAGCCUAGGUCCCUAAACCAGCAAGUAAAAAGAAUCUAAUGUUGACCAGGAAUACCUCUUUGGAUUGUGAAUAUAUUCCAAAUAAACAAAGAUGUAAUAUAAAGGACAUCGAGCAGAUGGGGAUCUUUGGGAUGAAUCCUGGAUGCCCAGUGAAUUUCAGCAGUAGAAAAACAAUCCCUGAAGUCUACUGGGCCUUAGACACAUCCGUCUGCCUGAGUCAUAGCCUCUUGAUGUACAGAAUAUUGUUUUGGAAGGACAACUUUGUAGCUGAGCAGCAAGGCCUCCUGUCUUGGGAUAUGAGCUGAGACACUUUGGAAGAUUUCUACCACAACCGAGAGCAUAGGCAGGUGCUAUUAACUCAAUCCAGCAGGAGCCAUGAAUAAGUUUCAUACUUUGAAACCUUUUUGUGAACUGAAUUUUCCAAAGAUUCUGCUUCACGUUAUGCUCCAUUUCUUUUAGCUGCUCCUUUUUCUUUUUCCCUUGCCUUAGCAAUGCUGAGGAUUUUUGCCAAUGAUGCAUUUUAUUUGGGAAUAAAAAAGAUAACACACAGGCUCUUUAGAUGAGUUAAAAAUGAGAUAUCCUAUUUUCCACAAAUAGCGAUGGAAUCCCUUUGCCACUCUGUAUUGUAAGAUAUUUUGUAGGUUUAACAUUGUGCACCAAUUAUCUAACCUGGGCCCAUAGCAUAGUUCCUGACACAUCGAAGCCAUUUAAUAUGUAAUUUUAAAUGAAUGAUAAUAAUAUACAGUAUUAGUUCAGAAUUAUUGCUUGCAAUUUUUUCUACACACGCCUAAAAGAGAUAAAGAAAAUUAUCAUGUCUUCUAAAUUUUUCUUCAGAUAAAGGAUCUAUUUUUCAUAUAUAUAGAUAAUUUUGUGAAGAUUUCCAUUGAAAAAGAUGUCCAUUCCCUGAAAGAUAGAAUAGAUUUUCAAAUAGUAGCUUCAGUGUGGUUGUCAAUAAUAUGUGCCUCCAAUAAAUAGUUAAAAAUUGACCUGCUUAUUUGAGGCAGAUAAAUAUUUGCCUAAAACUUUAAUCUUAAAUAAAAUAGAAGAGAUCCAUUGAAAAAACUAAAGGGUAGCUAUUUUGGUUGCCUGACGGCCGUCUGUCUGCAGACUAGACUUUUAAAAACAAUGUUUGUCAUUCAGAAGAUAGUUCUUUUAUGACGUGAUUUUUUUGGAAAUAAUUCCUAAAAUUGUUUCACUUUUAAAAUUUCAUUGGAGAAAUGGUACAAAUGGAUUUCUUCUAUGGAAGAUUUCCUUAAUAUCUUGUCUUAGCUUGGGCUGCUAAAACAAAAUAUUACAGAUUGAGUAUCUUAAAACAACAGAAAUUUAUUUCUCACAGUUCUGGAGGCUGGGAUGUCCAAGAUCAAGGUGCUAGCCAAUUUGGUUUCUGGUGAGGGCCAUUUUCCGAGUUUGAGGACAGCUGUCCUCUUGCUGUAUCUUCACAUGAUAGGGGAAAAGAAAGAGAUGGACAAUGGGGGUGGUGGCAGUGAGGGAUUUCUGGUGACUCUUCUUAUAAAGGCACUAAUCCCAUCACAGAGACUCCAUCUCAUGCCCUCAUCUAAGGCUAAUUAUCUCCCGAGGGCCCUAACUCCUAAUACCAUCACACUGGGGAUCAGGGCUUCAACAUAUGAAUUUGGGGGGAGACACACUCAGUCCAUAGCAUACCCCAAGGGAACCUGUGCAAUCGCUUUACUGAAGGAGAAACGGCCACAUCAUGGUUAAUCGUUAAGUGCUCAGAUAUAAUAAAGCAAGUUUCAGAAGAGCUUCUAAGGGUUGCUCAUUGAGAAACUUGAUUAAGAUUAUCUAAUGGUUUACAAUUAAGAAUCAGGGCCAGGGUAAACACUUCUCAAAUCUUACAAUGUAAAGUCAACACAAAAUGACAUUAAUGUAAUUAUCUGUAAUGGUCCUUGACUUAAGUAAAUGAAGUGGAAAAAAUAAUAAUUCUUUCACUUUUACUGUAUUUACUCUUAUUACUUU
rnacentral:lncRNA from 1 species